rnacentral:lncRNA from 1 species
UUCUCACGAGAUCUGAUGAUUUUAAAAAUGGCAGUUUCCCCUGCGCUUUUUCUCUCUCCUGUGCCUUGUGAAGAAAGUGCCUGCUUCGCCUUCACCUUCGGCCAUGAUUGUAAGUUUCCUGAGGCCUUCUCCGCCUGCAGAGCUGGCACAGAUGUCGGAGCCAGACUGCCUGGACUCAAAUCUCAGAACCUGCAUUUAUUAGCUGUGUGACUUUGGAUAAUCCUCUCUCCACAACUUGAUAAUGCACAAACUGCAAAUCUUCUGGUACUCACUGCUGCAAGCAAACUUGAAGUCUUUCUGAGCCUGACUCUUCAUUCCUGCCUUGUGUGACCCAGGGAUGGAGGACUGCCCUCCCAACUCAUUAUCCUCUUUGCCCAGGAGCUGUACAUACAAAGGUGGUGAUUCCAAAGAAUUAGAGCAAACAAGCUGGAGCUGGAAUCUGUCCUGUUAUAAAAAAUCUGUUCCGCCCAAUCACGAGAAUGUAUGGGUCAAGGUUACAGCCAAUGCCUGCAAAUCACCACCGUGUGUUUCAUUGAAGAAAGUGCCCUGCUCAACCUCAAAUUCUUAUCUUUCAAAUGAUGAAGAAAAUGUCACCUUAUGGACAUCAUCAAAAUCUUCUUUCUGUAAUUGAAAUGGAAUUAAAAGUGAUUUCCUUGGUUUACAGCAAUAGCUAUAAAAUAAACCAAGCUGUCUCUUUGUUUAUUCUUCAGAAAAGUGAAACACUUGAGUUACAAGGAAUAAUCAGAGACUAAUGCCAAGACAUCCCUGAGAGUCCUCCAGAAUGAUGGAGAACCACAUUCCAUCUCUCUAAAUUGGGAGCAUAUUGUAGCUUUGCAGCAUAGCAAUAGGAGGUAUCUUUCUGGGUCAUGGCUUGAUGUUGCAGAAGUGGCAGUGGAGCCUCCAAAAUCCCUGCCUUCCUCAUCCCUUCCAGCUCCACAGGGCUCUGGAGAGGCAGACAAGGUUCUGCAAUGCUCACCUCAAAAACAGUGCUGUAGGAAGCACUUGGCGGGGUACUGCAGUCAUAAACACUCCGGGAUUCCAAGAUCCUGACAGAUGCCUAUGUCACCAAAACUCAAAUUUUAUACUUGGCUUCAUGUGAUACUCUUUUUUAUGAUGCAUAUAUGAUAUGGAACAACUGCUGCUAUGGAAUCACCCAGAAUAAAAGUGACCCUCUUGGAAAUGCCUCCAUGUAUGUGUGAGUGAGUGAGUGACAAGCUGUGACUUGUACUGUCUACUCUGUGUAGCACCUGGGAAAUGUGUCCACCUUGCUCCUUGUCACAGUCUGACUGUGGCUACACUACGCGUCGGUGAUCACUGUCCAUCGGGCAGAAACUCUCUCCUGAUUCUUGCAUGAAAAAAACACUAGUUCAUUCAUC